rnacentral:rRNA from 1 species
GCUAACGUCCGUCGUGAAGAGGGAAACAACCCAGACCGCCAGCUAAGGUCCCAAAGUCAUGGUUAAGUGGGAAACGAUGUGGGAAGGCACAGACAGCCAGGAUGUUGGCUUAGAAGCAGCCAUCAUUUAAAGAAAGCGUAAUAGCUCACUGGUCGAGUCGGCCUGCGCGGAAGAUGUAACGGGGCUAAACCAUGCACCGAAGCUGCGGCAGCGACGACUAUGUGUUGUUGGGUAGGGGAGCGUUCUGUAAGCCUGCGAAGGUGUGCUGUGAGGCAUGCUGGAGGUAUCAGAAGUGCGAAUGCUGACAUAAGUAACGAUAAAGCGGGUGAAAAGCCCGCUCGCCGGAAGACCAAGGGUUCCUGUCCAACGUUAAUCGGGGCAGGGUGAGUCGACCC